GACGAACGCUGGCGGCGUGCUUAACACAUGCAAGUCGAACGGAAAGGCCCUGCUUUUGUGGGGUGCUCGAGUGGCGAACGGGUGAGUAACACGUGAGUAACCUGCCCUUGACUUUGGGAUAACUUCAGGAAACUGGGGCUAAUACCGGAUAGGAGCUCCUGCUGCAUGGUGGGGGUUGGAAAGUUUCGGCGGUUGGGGAUGGACUCGCGGCUUAUCAGCUUGUUGGUGGGGUAGUGGCUUACCAAGGCUUUGACGGGUAGCCGGCCUGAGAGGGUGAACGGCCACAUUGGGCCUGAGAUACGGCCCAGACUCCUACGGGAGGCAGCAGUGGGGAAUAUUGCACAAUGGGCGGAAGCCUGAUGCAGCAACGCCGCGUGCGGGAUGACGGCCUUCGGGUUGUAAACCGCUUUCGCCUGUGACGAAGCGAGAGUGACGGUAAUGGGUAAAGAAGCACCGGCUAACUACGUG
rnacentral:rRNA from 1 species